AAUUUAAUUGGUUAUCUUAUAUACAUUUUUGCAGCCAUUUUGUGAAAUAAAUCCUGGAGUUGGAACUUAUUUACAAUGGCUGUCACCGGCUUAUUCAAUGCGAAAAUUAACUACCAAAUAAAAGCAAAUCUUAUUCAAAAGAAUAUGCUCUUAUUCCAUGGCCUAAUUAUUUUUGCCAAAAUGGUUAAAAGAUUUAAAAAUUAAAUAAUCAUUCGAAAGAAAACUUUAAAUUGAUUUAAAUUAUAAAUAUUUUAAUAAAAAUAUUAUUAAAAAAAUAAAAAAAUAAUUUCACCGAACAUGAUUAGAUAGUAGGACUAGAUGGUAUGACGUGUUUAUAAUAUUAUAAUAUAUAAACUUUAUAACAAUU
rnacentral:sRNA from 1 species